rnacentral:lncRNA from 10 species
AUCCCGCUUCCCUCCUGCCUCGCCACUGCAGGCCUGUCCCUUUGCUUUCUUAAAACUGCGCACCGUCUGAGGCCACUUCGAGCCUACUGGAUCCCUGGUUCCAACCCAGUAGGAUCACAGAAGCAGGGCCAGCUGCCAGGAGAAAAAGUUGUUCUCUUCUACCAAAUUUUCCUGCCAUCAAAUGCUCAUUGAGUGACAAUAGAGAAAGCACCAUCAUCCUGAAGCAUCAGAUUGGGAGAAAAGUCCGCUCUCGAGAGCAUCAACUAUGUAGAAAGGGGACCAACCUAUGUUAUAUCUGCCUUAGUGCAUGGGCUGCUGGUCAAUGCUAACAGCUGGCUCUCAGGGAAAAAAGAAAAACCAUCUGUGGCAUCUGCCAAUUUCUGUGGUGUAAAUACUCUGAGCUCUGCCAAUUUCAAGCCAUCCAUCUGACAUUGCUGAACCCAAAGUUGGCAAGGGAUGUGCACAAUUGCCUUUUGCAAGCAAGCUUCUGCAAAAGACUUGAGACAGCUCACAAUGAAGUACUCUGUAUUAGGCAGGGUAAUAUUGAUUGCAAGUGACAGAAACCCAAUCAGAAACUCACUGGAGUCAUGAGGAACACUUAUUGGCUCAGAGUAAAGGCAAAAUAGACCUUCAGAGAAAUAAAGUCU